AUGAUUUCAUUCUUUUUAUGGCUGAAUAGUAUUCCAUGGUGUACAUGUACAAAAUUUACUUAAUCUAAUCCAUCAUUGAUGGGCAUCUAGGUUGAUUCCAUAUCUUUCUUGUUGUGAAUAGUACUGUGCUGCAGUGAACAACAUAUGAGUGCAUGUGUCUUUUUGGCAGAAUGAUUUAUUUUCUGUAGGAUAUAUACCCAAUAAUAUGAUUGCUGGGUUGAAUGAUAGUUUUAUUUAUAGUUCUUUGAGAAAUUUCCAAAGUGGCUGAACUAAUUUACAUACCCACCAACAGUGUAUAAGCAUUCCCUUUACUUUGCAUCCUCACCAACAGCUUUUAUUUUUGACUUUUUAAUAAUAGCUAUUCGGACUGGUGCGAGAUGGUAUUCCACUGUGGUUUUGAUUUGGAUUUCCCUAAUGAUUAGUGAUGCUGAGCAUUUUUUCAUAUGUUUAUUGGCUAAAAAGCUGAUAUUUCAUUUCAUUUUUUUAAAGGUUUAUGUUAGGUUCGGGGGUACAUGUGAAGGUUUGUUACAUAGGUGAACUUGUGUCACAGGGGUUUGUUGUACAGCUGAUUUCAUCACCCACGCAAAAAGCCCAGUACCCAAUAGUUAUUAUUUGUGCUUCUCUUCUUCCUCCCACCCUCCACCCUCAAGUAGACCCCAGUGUCUUUCAUUCCCCAAAAGCUAACAUUUUAAACCAGGCAAAAAUAUAAUAAUUUUAAUAUGAAGUGGCAUGUGAUUUCUGUUAAUGAUAAAAAAGAUAACAUUUGAAAAGGAGUCUUUUUGAUAACCCAUGUAUUAAGGACUAAAUGUUUGUACCUUCUCCCACCCCCAGAAUCAUAUGUGAAACCCUAACAACCAAUGUGAAUGUAUUUGGAGAUAGGGUCAUAAGCAGAUGGUAGAGUUUAAAUGAGGUCAUAAGGGUGGGGCCCUAAUCUGAUAGAGCUGUUGCACUUUUUAGAAGAGGAAGAGAUACUGGAACAUGUCUCUGUCUGUGUGCAUUCAGAAAGAAGGCCAUGUGAUACAGUUUGGAUGUUGCCUCCAACCAAAUGUCAUGUCAAAAUGUAAUCUUCAAUAUUGGAGGUGAGGCAUGGUGGGAGGAGAUUGGGUCAUGGAGGCAGGUUUCUCAUGAAUGGUUUAGCACCAUCCCCCUUGGUACUGUCUUCACAAUAGUGAGUUCUCAUGAUAUUUGGUCAUUUAAAAGUGUGUAGCACUUCCCCCUUCACGUUCUCUUGCUCCUGCUCUGGCCAUGUGACAUGCCUAUUCCCUCUUCACCUUCUGGCAUGACUGUAAGUUUCCUGUGGCCUCCCUGGAAGCAGAGCAGAUUCCAUCAUCAUGCUUCCUGUACAGUCUGCAGAACCAUGAGCCAAUUAAGCCUCUUUUCUUUAUAAAUUACCCAGUCUGAGGUACUUCUUUAUAGCACUGCAAGAAUGGACUAAUAUACUAUGUGAAGACAAAGGGGAUGUCUGCAAGCCAGGACGAGUGCGUCUACCAGAAACUGAGUUCUGCUGGACUUUGAUCUAGGACAUCCAGCCUCAAGAAUGGAAUGUGCCAUAUGUGGAGACCUGCAUGGAAAGGAACUGAGGAUGCUCUCUGACUAAAAGCUAGAAGGAACUGAGGCCCUCAGUCAACAGUCUACAAGACACCAAAUCUUGCCAGCAGCCAUGCAGUGAGCUUGAAAGCAGAUCUAUCAUCAGCUGAACCUUCAGAUGAGACUGCAGCCUAAGCAGACACCUUGGUUGCAGCCAUGUGAGACAACCUGAAACAGAGGGCACAGCUAAGCCUCAGCCAGGUUCAUGACCCUCUGAGGAAGCUGUGAGAAAGCAAAUGUCACUUUAGGCUAUUUAAUUUUGGAGGUAGUUUGUUACACAACAAUAAAUAACUAUUAUAAUUAUCUUGAGGAUUUCCUGGGGAGAAUAAAUGGAAUUGUAUAUAUAGGUCCUCAUAUGCAGAAUACUGGUACCCCAGAGAUGUUCACCCCAGAGAUGUUGUAGGAACCUGUGAAUAUGUUACAUUAAAUGGCAAAGUUUUCCUGGAUGGUUUAAGUUUAAGAUGGAAAAGUUUUACUGGAUUAUCCAGUGGGUCCAAUCUAAUAACAUGAGUCCUUAAAAAUGGAGAAUAUUUUUUGGCCAUGAUCAGAGAGACAUGUGAUGAUGGAAGAAGUGUCAGAGAUGCAAUGUGAGGGGACUAAAACUGCUGUUGCUGACUUAAAAGAUGGAGAGAGGGGAACCCGAGUCAAGGAAUGCAAAUGGCCUCUGGAAGCUGGAAAAGGCAAGAAAUGGAUUCUUCUUUACAGCCUCCGGAAUAAAAUGCAGUCAUGCUAACACCUUGAUUUUACCUCAGUGAGACCAAUACUGGAGUAUGACCUCCAGAGCUGAAUAAAAUUAUAUGUACACAUCUUAAUUUCUUGGGAUUUGAUUACUUCUUCUGCUUUGAAAUUAGACCAAGUUUAGCCUGCCUUUGCUAUUUUGGCAUAUCUCCAAUUCUUCAUGAUUUUCUCAUGUUGCUAUUUGUGCAGUAGUGGGCUCGAUGGUGGUAUCCCAAAAGUGCAAAGGCCACAUAAGGACAGUGAGAAGGCAGCCACCUGCAAGCCAGGAAGAAAGGUCUCACCAGAUACCAACCCUGCCAGCAUGUUGAUCUUGGACUUCCAGCCUCCAAAACUGUGAGAAGGCCUUCUGCUCACAUGGGCUUCCGUGCACCUGCUUCAGGAGACAGCAACACUUGUGCCCGCACUGCGGCAGGCUCCCAUCACCUGGUGGAUAUGCCGCGCCGAGUCUCAUCACACCUUAGUGAAGGAACACAUGGACCCAUAUGUUAGCGGAUGUGUUUACAUCGUUUUAUACAGAAAGGGGA
rnacentral:lncRNA from 1 species